rnacentral:rRNA from 1 species
ACGGUUACCUUGUUACGACUUCACCCCAGUUAUCGGUCCCACCUUCGACGGCUCCCUCCUUUCGGUUGGGUCACCGGCUUCGGGCGUUACUGACUCCCAUGGUGUGACGGGCGGUGUGUACAAGACCCGGGAACGUAUUCACCGCGACAUUCUGAUUCGCGAUUACUAGCGAUUCCAGCUUCAUGUAGUCGAGUUGCAGACUACAAUCCGAACUGAGACGUUAUUUUUGGGAUUCGCUUGCACUCACGUGUUCGCUUCCCUUUGUUUACGCCAUUGUAGCACGUGUGUAGCCCUGGUCAUAAGGGGCAUGAUGAUUUGACGUCAUCCCCACCUUCCUCCAGGUUGUCCCUGGCAGUCUCUCCACACUGCCCAUCCUUAAUGCUGGCUACUGAAGAUAAGGGUUGCGCUCGUUGCGGGACUUAACCCAACAUCUCACGACACGAGCUGACGACAACCAUGCACCACCUGUCUCCCCUGUCC